rnacentral:rRNA from 1 species
GACGAACGCUGGCGGCGUGCUUAACACAUGCAAGUCGAACGGAAAGGCCCUGCUUUUGUGGGGUGCUCGAGUGGCGAACGGGUGCGUAACACGUGAGUAACCUGCCCUUGACUUUGGGAUAACUUCAGGAAACUGGGGCUAAUACCGGAUAGGAGCUCCUGCUGCAUGGUGGGGGUUGGAACGUUUCGGCGGUUGGGGAUGGACUCGCGGCUUAUCAGCUUGUUGGUGGGGUAGGGGCUUACCAAGGCAUUGACGGGUAGCCGGCCUGAGAGGGUGGCCGGCGACAUUGGGACUGAGAGACGGAGCAGACUCCUAUGGGAGGCAGCAGGGGGGAGUAUUGCACAAUGGGAGGAAGCCUGAGGCAGCAACGCCGCGUGCGGGAUGACGGCUUUCGGGUUGUGAACAGCUUUCGCCUGUGACGAAGCGUGAGUGACGGUAAUGAGUAAAGAAGCACCGGCUAACUACGUG